UACGGAGGGUGCAAGCGUUAUCCGGAUUCACUGGGGUUUUAAAAGGGUGCGUAGGCGGAUAGGUAAGUCCGUGGUGAAAUCCUGCAGCUUAACUGCAGAACUGCCAUGGAUACUAUCUAUCUUGAAUGUCGUGGAGGUUAGCGGAAUAUGUCAUGUAGCGGUGAAAUGCUUAGAUAUGACAUAGAACACCCAUUGCGAAGGCAGCUAACUACGCGAUAAUUGACGCUGAUGCACGAAAGCGUGGGUAGAAACAGG
rnacentral:rRNA from 1 species